GUGCCAGCAGCCGCGGUAAUACAGAGGGUGCAAGCGUUAAUCGGAAUUACUGGGCGUAAAGCGUGCGUAGGUGGUUGUUUAAGUCUGAUGUGAAAUCCCCGGGCUCAACCUGGGAACUGCAUUCAAAACUGACGAGCUAGAGUAUGGUAGAGGGUGGUGGAAUUUCCUGUGUAGCGGUGAAAUGCGUAGAUAUAGGAAGGAACACCAGUGGCGAAGGCGACCACCUGGACUGAUACUGACACUGAGGUGCGAAAGCGUGGGGAGCAAACAGGAUUAGAUACCCCAGUAGUCC
rnacentral:rRNA from 1 species